AUAUGCAGGCCAACACUGCGGCUGUGCCCUCGGGCCAGUCUGCUGAGGCUGAAGUAUUUUUCACCCAUGUCUUUUGCGCACUUGUUGUUUCCUGGGCGGGUUCGCUCGCCAUCAGGACCACACCAUAAACCUUUUUUAUGCAGUUGCAAUCAGCGUCAGUAUCACAAAUGUAUAAUCAUUUACAACUUUCAACAACGGAUCUCUUGGUUCUGGCAUCGAUGAAGAACGCAGCGAAAUGCGAUACGUAGUGUGAAUUGCAGAAUUCAGUGAAUCAUCGAAUCUUUGAACGCACAUUGCGCCCUUUGGUAUUCCAAAGGGCAUGCCUGUUCGAGCGUCAUUUGUACCCUCAAGCUUUGCUUGGUGUUGGGCGUUUUUGUCUUGUGCAGCAAGACUCGCCUUAAAACGAUUGGCAGCCGGCCUACUGGUUUCGGAGCGCAGCACAUUUUUGCGCUUGCAACCAGCACAAGAGGCCGGCACUCCAUCAAGUCCUCUUUCUCACAUUU
rnacentral:sRNA from 1 species